CGGGUGAGUAACGCGUGAGGAACCUGCCUCAAAGAGGGGGGAAACAGUUGGAAACGACUGCUAAUACCGCAUAAGCCCACGGCUCGGCAUCGAGCAGAGGGAAAAGGAGCAAUCCGCUUUGAGAUGGCCUCGCGCCGAUUAGCUAGUUGGUGAGGUAACGGCCCACCAAGGCGACGAUCGGUAGCCGGACUGAGAGGUUGAACGGCCACAUUGGGACUGAGACACGGCCCAG
rnacentral:rRNA from 1 species